AGUACGUAAUACAUAAGCGGUUCAAGGGUCGACGCCAUUGUAUUUGCGUUGUUUACAUGUGGAUCGAGGAAUCUAAGCGACAUCAAUCUGGUAAGAAACCUUCAUUUUGAAUCAUUUUUACCGAAUAUUUUUUGAAACCUUCCUACACAUUAGGUGUAGGAAGGUGUAGAAAGUAAUGAAAUAAAAAUAUUUUACGUUACUAUUUCAUCAAAAGGUGGAUUUCCCUUGGAAAUCCAUCUUUAUUUACCUGGGUGGUAUUCUGAGAUCCAUUUUAUCUCAGAUAAAAUAAAAUAUUUUAUCUUCGUUAAAAUCAGUGAGAUAAAAUACCCUUAAAAUCUCUCCGAAUUGGUAUUCUGAGAACAAUUUUAUCUUCAUUUUAUCUCUGUAAGACACACCUAUUUUUAAUCAAUAUCCAAUUAGAAACACGCUUUUAUAGCUCUCUCAUAUCACUCAACCAAUGGAAAUCCAUUCCGCUAGGAGGUGUGGCAAGGAAGUGAGAUUGCGUCAAUUUAUUGACUUCAAAUACGCUUGCACUAUACGCUUGAGCGUCUUUCAGAGAUUUCUUUUUAACAAAAAUGACAAUAGUCUCAUCUUUUUUUCCAAGUCUAUUUCGCAUCUUUUCAAGCAUCAUUUCAAAGACAAUAUUAGUCAAGCAAAGUCUAAUGAAAUACUUCCUAAUUGUACAGGAAUAACUUGAAGGUGUUGUUCUCAAUGAAUAUAUAAUUUUUCUUCAUUUUCAUAUCAACAUUUGGAGUUAAUUCAUGAAGAAAUAUUGACGAAAUCAACGUCGCGGAGAUAAAAUAGCCCCUACCCUCUUUUAAGUUUAUUUUAUUUUUUCUUCAAAGUAACUUGGGCGCAAGCACAUCAUCCGCGUUGCAAUGUCCAGAUACACGAUGGGUAUGUCUACGCAGCCAUUGCUCUGUUGCGUAUCAUCAUAGAUACGCAAGAUAAAAUUUAUACGCAAGAUAAAAUUUUAAACUUUGUCUGAGAGAUAAAAUGUCAUCUCAGAAUACCAAUUUCAUUUUAAGAGAUAAAAUAAAAUAUUUUAAAGAUAAAAUGACCUCAGAAUACCACCCCUGGUUCUCUUACAUGUCUAUGAAGGCCUGUUCAAGACGUCAAUGAUGAAGAAGUAUAUGACAGGAUUUAAAAAGUCAUCAUCAUUGCGUCCUCAAGAGUCAAGACUAGGUGCACGCUGUGACCAUUUCGUAAUUAAAAAAAAAUGUUUUCAGAGUAUUUUAUUGAAAACAAAUAUAUUUGUGUUAUCUUGAUUUAUUUUUGUUUUAUUUUAAGUUUGAACUUUCUUCUUUCUUUCUUUCUUUCUUUCUUUCCUUCUUCAUCCUUUCUUCUAUCCUUCCUACAUCAUUGUACAUAUACAUCAUGCCUUUUUUUUCAUUCCAUCUAUCUUUAUUUUCAAUCUUUUCCAGCUUUCUUUCCUUCCUUUCUGUCAUCCUUUUUUUUUUCCUUUCAAAGAAUGGAUGAAACUUUUUUCAUUCCUUUCAUUUUCCUUUUUUCUUACUUUGCUUGUAAUUUUUCUUUUCCUUUUUCAGUUAUUUUUCCUCUCCUUUUAUACUUUACCUGUACUUAAUUUUUUGUCUCGCAUGCAUAGCAGGGACUCACAGUUUUAUAAUUAUGAGGGGAGCAAUAAACAGCUCUCAUAAAAGUUUUAAGGGGAGUGGUAUGGGAGUACUGCAAAAAGCUCUUCUUUGACAUACAGUCCGACCUCUCUUAUCCUGACACGUUGGGACCAGCACCAAUCCAGACAUGCCAGAUAAGGGGUUUAUCUGGAUCUGGGAGACCCAAUAUUAAAUACACGCAGCUGGGCAAUUCCAAGCAAAAGUGGACAUUUUCCAAAAAUUUAUAUUGGCUCUAUUUCAAAUCUGGAUCAAAUUUUUCUGUUAAAACUCAUAUGGGAUUUCAUAAAUACAAAAGGGGAACAUAAAAAUUAGCCACAAUUUUUUUUUCUUGUGCAUAGAGGAGAAUUCAAACCCUACAAAAAAUUAUAUUCAUGGGACUACAUUGUUUUUUUACUAAAUUUCAAUUUAACAGAAAACUAUUGCUUGUUUUGUAAAAUUUUCUUUUGGACAAUCUGAAGAUCAUAAUGUUACAUCAUAUCAAAAGAAAAUUUUAAAAUAUCAGUUCAUUUUAUGUUGCCUGUGUGUGAAUAUUUCAGAUGUCACUCCGUAACUGGGUAUGGGUUUAUGUUUUAAGUUGUAAUCAAUGAAAAAAUGCACAAAUUUGUUAAUGUAAUGCAGCAUAUUAAACCUAGAACAACAUAGAAUUCAAUCAAUAACUCAACAUUGUGAAAGCCAUUUAAAGUUCACAGAGUUCGAGCAAUAUAUUUUCUCCUCAAAUAUGCAUGUCCAUUUUACUUCACUCCGUAAUUAUGAUUAAGAAUAUUCAUAUCUCAUUAAUUCAGUGGAUAAAAAUAACAAAUGUUAUUAUUUUGAAAAGUGGGUUUCAGCAACUACUGUCAGGUACCAUUUCUUUGCAAAUAACUAUUUAAAUAUGGGUGAUAUUCUUGUUUGAAUGCUAAAAACUUGUUUCUGAAUGUCACUACGUAUCCGUGGGACUGCCCAGCUACAUUUGUAGCUGCCUCCCCUAAAUGUAUGGUAGCUACAUGUACAUGUAAUCUAUUGUAGUGGGUGUACACACUACGCAGACAGUAUCCACUGCAGUGUCAGUGGCAUCACUGCAAAUUAUAGGCGUUUUUUUAUGGAAAUGAAAUCGAUUGGUUACCAAAAACUAUUGGAUAAUUUACCUGCUGAAAUGAUUGAGGUAUAUGUCGAGCAUACCUCGAAAGAGAGAAGGACUUAAAACUUUGGCAUAGUCAGCCAUUGUUAUGACUGUAAGCUUAAACACGAUAGAUGGCGCUGUCUGUAUCGAGGCCUAGUGCCCUGGGGGGGGGGGGAGGGGGUCACUCUCCACAUGGACUGCUACCCCCCGUGUCUGACAACCUCAGAAAUGCAGACGUGUUUUUUUUUCCCAGAAAAAAGGAGAAUGUGAUAAAAUGGUUGUGCUGCGCCCUGAUUUAGUGGAAAAUUAUCCUGUUUUUCUUUUGGUGAUUUGGGUAAGAUAUUUUCAUUAAAAAUAAUGUGGUUGUAGGACUGUAGGUAGACUAUAUUGGAAAAUGUAUGUAAUCAAAGUGAGUUUGCAUAGAGUUUGUAGAUUGAAAUCUCAUUUCCCCAUGGUCUAGAAUCUAGAUUGAAAAAAAAAAAUCUUGGCAAGUGUGUGUCUGGAUAAUAGAGAGAUCCGGAUAAGGAGAGGUCGGAUAUAAAGAGGUCAAACUGAAUUACAAAGGGAGCUUUUUUGUCCAAUUUCAAAAUGGAUGGGAGAAUGUCGAUGUACACUAAGUUACAACCCAGGCCACAACCAAAGGAGACCAAAAAUCAGAUGCCCUGAAUUUAUGCAAUAUAUAUCUCAUUUUAAAUGUGUGUUAUUGCUUAAUUGUAAAAACUUGACUGAGACCAAGGUUUUCAAGGUUGGCUCUAACAGUUUGAUCAUUGACUGGCACUUGUUCUACAUUCAGGCUAAAUGACGUCAGAAUAGAGAUUAUACAUGUACAUGGAAGUAAACUAUUGUACAGUACAAAUAAUAUAAAAGUGUAUGAUGUUGCUUUGCUUGAUAUCUAGUUUUUCUGCAUUUCUGCCUUUAUCAUUUUACAUGUAUGUUACAUUUGCUGAGGAGAGUAUUUGUUAAAUUGUCAUAACUUUGAAUGUUUAUUGGUCUAGUUCAUAAAACUUGGACAAAAGAGAAAUCAAGUAUCACUAAAUAUUCUGUGCAAAUUUCAGGUCACAUGACCAAGGUCAAAGGUCAAUGGACUUUGGCCAUGUUGGGGGUAUUUGUUGAAUAACCAUCAUAACUCUGAAAGUUUAUGGAUCUAGGUCAUAAAACUUGAAUGUGAAGUAUCACUGAACAUCUCAUGCGAGUUUCAGGUCACAUGACCAAAGUCAAAGGUCAAUGGACUGGCCAUUUUGGAGGUAAUUAUUAGAUUGCUGUCAUUUCUUUCAAAGUUUAUAGAUAUAGUUUAUAAAAUGUGGAUAUACAUCUGUAGGGGUAAUCAUGUAUCACUGACAAGUCUUAGGUCAAAUGAUAGUGGUCAAAUGUCAUUUAUUGUCCAUGAACGUAGUAUUGUAUCAUAUAUGAAUGGUGUUUUUUGUGAAUAAUUAUGUUAUGGUACUUAGUUUUUAAAGUGAGUCCUGCUGCUACAAUGUAUAUUGAAAAUGAAUCGUGUGAUGCUGGUGAGACUGCCAGAGGCGCUCCACCUGUUUCUCCUUCUAGGCCCCCUUCAUUCACAUUUUCGUUCUUCAUACUGGAUUCCCCUUUUGAAGCCGCUGUUUUUCAGGGGUGUUUCGUAUGGGGGCACUACUUUUUUUAAGAAGCAUUAUAAAUUACAGAUAUUUCCCCAGAUGUUACUCUUCCAGAUGCAAAGAGUUUGGUCCAGAUUAACAAUGAAACUGUGGAGAAGUUGUUACAAGUUCAAGCAUCCAUGGGGAUGACAGUCACUAUGAUAGAUACUGCAAUGGUCAAGACUAGAGGCUGGUGAAGUUGAGAGAAGAACACCUGAUCAAAUACUCUGCUGCUCGGGGCAUGAACCAGGCUCAGAUGAUGGCCAAACCUGUCUUAGCUUGUAGAGAAAAAGCUCAGCUGUACAGUGUGAGAUGUGCUGCAUCAACUGACAAGAUCUACAUCAGGAAGGACAUCUGAAGUCCUCUGACCGCCACACCAACCUUCGUCACAGGCAGUGUCCUGGCAGGAGGUUAUAUAAAGAGUCCACAGAGCACGAGGCAAGGUCUGUUUGAUCAAGGCAUCCUUUUGAAUGUUCAUAUGACAUCAUCGGCAUCAUCCUUGGAUUCGACCACAGAUCUCAGCUUUUAAGUCAUUGUUGUCAUGCCAAUAUGAACAAGAAGAAAGAAGAGGGCACUACUCAUUUACAAUAGAUAUAUUCUCCGUCUUAAGGCGACCGCACACCUUACGAUUGGUCUGCGACCCGAUUUCAGAAUAAACUGUAGUAGAAUUUGAUGCUAACAUUGAGACUUGGAAUAUCCUCCUGUGUAAUGUUCUAAAUCAUCGUACGAAUACCUAUGUUGAAAUCUGUGACUAUGCUAUCAUCCUUCUUGGAAUAAAAGCAAAUUUAAUAUCCAGUCGUAAUGACGUCAUAUCAAUCGUACGAUUGGCUACGAUUUGAAACUAAUUUGGCCUUUACUCAGAAAUAAAGGCUUGCAAUCUUUCAAAAUGGUUAUAUUAAUAUUCUUUCCAUUAAUUAAAACCUUAAAUAAAAUGAUAUGUUCCAUUCACAUUUUCAGAAAAUGAGCAAAAUGCGAUUUGUUCCAAAAUCGGAUCGCGAACAGUCGUAAGGUGUGCGGUGGCCUUAAGACCCUGCGAAUCAUAUCGAUUGAUGACCAGGAUGUACAAGAAGGGGACAAUGUCUCAAAUGCUUUUGAUGCUCUUACCAAGGCAUUCAAUACAUCUGGGGACUUGGAAGCAGGGGGUUUAAGGUGCCAAUCUGCAAAGCUGCCACCUCAUCUACUAAAUCCUCAACACAACGCACUCUCUGGCAACACACCACCCAUGGGGGCAUACCUCACACCUCAACCCCAGGCCAUUGGUUUGUAUUAAACAAACCUGGAUGGCAUUCAUCAUCAGAGGGAUGCAACUUCUUCUAACCUGCAGUCUUGGCCCAGCAAGAAGGAGACGUGAACAAGCCAGGAUGACGUGAUCGGAGGGAUGUAACUUCAUUCAACCUACAGUCUUGGCCCAGCUGGAAGGAGACAUUGGUUCGUACAAACAAGCCAGGAUGACGUGAUCAGAGGGAUCCUACUUCACUCCACCUGCGGACUUGGCCCAUGGAGAGAAAUAUUUCAGGGGGUAUCUCACUGAGCAGUGAAUGUUUUUAAAUGUUGGGAAUCUGAGAUUCACCAACUUUUCUGACGAGUAAUGCAAACUCGUGCGAAUGUUUGUUAAUGACACCAAAAUCUAUUUGCGAUUGUGAACUACUUCAAAAUUGAAAUUAAUAUGUUUAUAAACAUUUGAUACAAAUUUGUUUAUCAGUGGGUUGAAUUUAUACAGGAGCCAACUGAUCGCUAGUAUAUUGGCGAAUCAAAAAGAACUUCAGCCACGCCGUCUUAUUACCAUUUGUAAAGGCAAAGAAAUUUUGAACAUGUUCAAAAUUUCUUUGCGAUGAGGAAAACAGUUUGCAACAAUGAAAAAUGUUUAAAGAACUUUCUUGCAAACUUUUAUGAACCCUGGUGGGUGUUUCAUAAAGCUGUUUUUAAGUUAAGAGCAACUUUAAGAAUGACUGGUGAACCUUUCUUACAUGCUAAAUAAUCACCAAUGAACAUUUAAUGGUGAAUAUCAUUUACCACAAGAAGGGAUCACUAUUCGUUCUUAAAGUCUAUCUUAAUUUACGAACAGCUUUAUGAAACAGCCUCAUCGUGAAAUCCCAAAUUCACUACAUUUGCAAGCAUUCGCUGCUCAGAGAGGUUCCCCCUUUAUUGAUAUGUGAUUUGCCACCCCCAAUAACCAGCAGUGAGUCACCCAAUAUGAAUUUUGAGAAUUUAAUUGACCUUGAAAGAGCACAUUCAAAACUUGUCAAAAUUGAUAAAAAAUAACCCACACAGAAACUUGUGUGUAGAAGAAAUUCAGUGAGAGCUUCCGAAAAUAAGGAGAAAGCAAGAUUCGAAACACAAAGGUUUGCGAUGAAUUGCAAAUAUGAAAGAAUCGCACUGAUUGGUUCCCGGUCAAUAUUUUAAACAGAGUGCGCAUGCAACGAUGAUCUUGAUUGGUCAUUGGUAUUUAGCGAGUGAUUGCAAACCUUCGUGUUAUGGAGCCCGAGAUUCACUCAAGCAUGAGAUGUGCAUGUUGUGAUCUAGGUAAAACUUUGAAGCAGUCCAGAAUACAGUGGUGAAAAACUUCUUUAUGUCAACUUAUUUUACAACUUCAUACUUUCCCCAGAGACAAUAUUGUUGGUUUUUGUGUGGCUGAUCACAUACAUGUUUACAUAUGUACAUAUAUUUACAUAUAUACAAUUUGAUAAAGACCUUAUGGUUGACUUUGUCAUUAUGGUAACUAGCAUGAAAAACCUUGAUUGUGAUUGGCUGCUAAGCCCUGUUACCACGGUAGUUACCAUAAUAACAAAGAUAUCAUUGUUGUAAUUCUUUACCCUCACUUGCCAUAUGUAUUAUCCCAUUUACACAAUUUAUGACAUGUGAAAAUAUGCGUUUUGAUUGACUAUAUGAUAUAUGAUUUGAGAAAUGGGACAGUUUCUACCUCUCUUUUAUACUGAAAUUUUGGCUUGAUUUGAAUGAUUCAGAACAAAAUGCUGCAAUGCAAAAUAAGUUAAUUUACCAAAAAUCUGGUUCAUCUGUAAAUAGGACCAUAUACAUGGCAAGGGAGGGUAUUUAUGAAACUCCUUUUUAAAUAUAUUGAUAAAGACUUGUGUAUACCUCAAAAGAGCAGGUCCAAGCUAUUUCUUUGCUGACAGUUCAAAGUAUCUGUAUUAUCUGUUGUCUAUGUUAGUGGAGUUUAGGAGUUAACAUAAUUUGUAACUUUUUUGUGAAGAAGUUAGUAUUUUUGUAAACUUUGUGUUAAGCUAUUCUGCAAAAGUGGAUCCAAAGGUUUUCCAGAGUUUUUGCCUAUUGAGUUUUAUCUCUGGUUUUUUACCCUGGACCUACUUGUCGUAGAAUUGUUUAACACAAAGAUUCACCCCCAACAUUUUCUGACAGUUCUGCAGCGCAAAAAUGAUUUUACUAGCCAAAUUUUUACUUUUAAAACUAAUGCGUCUUUUUUUAGACCAAAUUUACAAUGCCUGGGAAAAUUCCAAAAUGAUGCAAUAAUUUGAAAACUCAUGUCAGGCAAAUAAAUGCUCAAAAACUGAUUUUAUAUUCAAAGUUAAUGCUGAUGGAGUUUUCUUACGUUAUUCAUUAAGAUGCGAUUCCUUUCAUUUUCAUUAGCUGAAAUUAAUGUUAGCAUCAUAACACUUCAAAGUGUAUCUGCAGGGAACUAAAAAAUUAAUGAAAUGAUAUGCUGGUUGCAUUUUCAUUGCAACUAUUUUCGCAAAAUGUUGAGGGGUAUUUAAUGGUCAUUCAAUGUUUGAUGUGGUUUAUUAAUUAUUUUUUCUGCAAUGCGAAAUUUGUCUGGCCAUCUCGUUUUCAUCCUAUAACUAAGAUGGAUCAACUUGAAAAUGACAUUGGUUGGAGUAACUUUUGGUGUCAUGGGGUCAAAGGUCACAGAUGUCAUUAUAUUCCUGAAAAGAAAAAAAACUAUGUAAGGGAUCAUCUUCAAACUUACAUCAUGUUAGUAUAAUGGAGGGACAUUAAUUUGAUUAGACGUUGGGGUCACAAUUUCAAAGGUUACAAAGGUCAUUUUUUUAUAUAUCUUGUUCUCACAAUACAAAUCAUCUGAUAGUUCAGCUUCAAACUUUUUUUGUUUAUGCAUAAGUAUGGGACAAAGAUCUAAUUAGAUUUGUAGAUCAUGGGGUCAAAGGUCGAAUAAUUGAAUAUCUUGUUCUCAAAAUUUUUAAAGAACCUGUUUCCUGUAUGCACAUUGGAAGUACAAUAAUUUAUUUGUAAUAUAGUAACAGUAUUUGUUUGAGGGAUUGUUUUUAAACUUGGCUCCAAUGUGUAUACAGUGUGAGUGAGGGUUUGAUCAGAUUAUUUUGGUCGCAAGGUCAAAGGUCAUAAUUUGAAAGUUUAGCAGUUAGAUCUGUAAUAUAUUCUUAGUCUGGCAAUGGCCUAGGCAUAAAUUUUGACUGGAUGCAUCUGAGAAUCCCUUCUAGUUUGCUUCAAAUUUUCCAUUGUCCCAAUAAUAUACGUUGCCAGUCAUGUGUUUCUCUUUUUAAUUAUUAUUUUAUUAACAAAGAAAUUCACAGUGUAUAGGCCUAAUAUUAGGAGGUGCUUGAAAGUGCUUUCAUAUUGUUUUCUAUUUUUCAAAAGUAUAUAACUCUGGCAAAACAAUUAUAGGAAGUGUUUCACAAAUAGGUAAAUCCAACGUUAAGUUGUUGGCACGCACAUGGUAUUUAAUGCCUAGUCUCAUUGACUCCUACACAGUAGAGCAUGUCCUGUGGCAUGAGCAUGAUCCAACCAAUACAAUGAUCCAUUAUUUUCUACAAGCCAGUGUAAAUUUUAUUCACUCUUAAAAUAUUUGUGAAACACUCCAAGGACAUGUCUCUUAAGAUAGUAUAAUAUUGUUAUGUCAGGUAGCUUGGACCUGCCCUAUUAUGCAGAGAUGCCAACAAGUACUGAUUUUCAGUAAUUAUUUCUGAAAAUGAGAAAAAUACUGAUAGCUUCAUGCAAAUUUCUGAUUUCAAAAUAUUCAGUUUUAUUAAGUUUAUCCUAUGGUAUUUCUGUGGAAACAUUGACUUCCUAACCAAAAUAAUGAUCUUCAGCAUUCAAAAUACUGAAAUGUCCUUGUUCAGGGGAGCGUUUCAUCAACAUUUUUGUCCGACAAGUUGUCGGAUCUGACAUCUUUCUCUGACUCUGAUUGGCUGUGAGGCACUGUUACUAUGGUAACUGUCGGAUAAAACCUCUGACAAGUCCUUUCAUGAAACGCUCCCCAGGUUGGCAGCUCUGAUAGUGUAUGAUUGUCAAUACUAUAUACUUGUUUUGUAUUCAUGAUUUCAUUUUUUUUUUAUCCUGAAAAAUGUAAGACCAGCAGCCAAGAAGGUUCAUUCAAGUUGGAGGACCAUAGCAGUUGACCUCGUCCCAUUGAUGGCAGUAGGCCCUGAACCUCACAAACAUGGCUUCCUGUCUGGUUUGAGCUGGGAUCUUCCUGCCAGAAUCGCACAAUUAGUGACGUCACUACCAAGAGAUCUAUUUUUCAGUGUGUAGAGAGGGGCACUGGACACUUCUGUACAUGAUAUACAACUUCCCUAAUGUAAGUGCUUUAUUGAUGAUUUCAAUGAUAUCUUGCGUAGCCUAGAGGAUGUGAGACAAUGCAAAACGGUUUUCCAGCAAUUAUGGUAUUCUGGGGCAACAACUAUUCUGGAAAUAUUGGGCAGAAAUAUCUAAAUUGUACUUUUUAAAUCCAUGACAUUUUCUUUACUGAAAAUCAAUCCAAACAAUACCAUUACUCCACCCUCCUCCCCUCAUGUUUUACUUUCCUCUUUGACUUCUCCUCUAAAAUGCUAGCAUUAUCUGUUCAUCCAUUAAUUGCAGUCUCUCUUUUACCUCCCUGUACGAUCCAUUCUACCCGUAACUGUCACUCUGAAUUCAUCUUUUUUUUUACACCCUCUCAACAUGAUAUUCUCCGCGACUGAUAUAAUAAUGUGCAAUGAAUACAUAUGCAAAUUCUUUAAAAAAGCAAUUUGUGAUUAUGUUUACAGAUUUCAAUCACAUUAUCUUUAAUUAAUUGCAGAACCACUUGAGAAAGUGGUAUUAAUGUUACAAAAUACAUUUUCUGUACAUGUUGAUUUUUUUGGACGGACUUAUUUGAAUCAAUUUUGUUGAUCCUCUCCCCGUUUGCUAUAAACCUCAUGUUUGUGCAAACAUGUAUUCAUCACGUUAUCACACAAUGUGUAGAGAUAAUGGACUGCUGCUUGGAAUGAUGUGAUUUGUGACCCAAUAUCGGUUCGUCUGCCCAAAAUAUGUAUCCACUCAAAAUCAAAAGUAAAGUAUUAACUUUUCACCCAUUGUUAUGAGGAUUGUGCACUUCAAUUAUUGUGCCACAAUGUGUAAAAAGGGGGGACAAAAUGCUAAAUCAACCAUACCAAUACAUUUUAGUCUUGAUUCUAGUUUCUGGAGCACAAUGUCAAAUUGUCAGUUGCUUUUCAAGGAAUUAUACAGGAGUGUUGCUUAUUCACUGUUUCGUGUUCACCCUGAUCGAUAUUUGCAAUUGGCCUCUUGCAUGUUUGUCAAAUUUCAUCAAUGGGCAGUUUAGCCAAGACGACUUUCGGGCACCGAGGCAUCAAUCAAGACUGAUUAAGGAUUGGUUGCACUUUAAAUUGACCCAGAUCUAGUCAACCAUUUGUGUCUGUCUGCACAAAGAAGGGCAGAAAAGAAAUGUUGAUGAGUGCUUGACAAGAGCCUACCUGAAUUCUGGAAAUGUGUUUUAACCACAUGUGAAUCAAUGUGUAUCCCGGUGUCUGGUAUUGUUGUGAAAAUCCCCAAGUACUGACUGAAGAAAUUGAGUUUUUCUCGCUAAUGCUUCACAUAUUUUCUAUUGGACAUUCAAAUGGUAAUGUUUUAUGAGUUGUCUUUGUAUUUGAUUGUUUUACUGAUUUCUGGUGCCGUUACAGGUGGUAUGAAUUGAGAGACAUGAUGGUUCUCUGAUAUAUAUGGCUAAUGCCAGCUAAACUUUCGUCUUGUGGAAUAGACUUCUUUGGUAUUCUUCUUGUAUGAGUGUGUUGGCCUAUUUGUUGUGUCAGAACAAUUCUUGGUGGAUCUAGAUCUAGUUGAUCAUUUCUCGUCUCAUCCCCAACUUUGACCUGACAUGGAAACAAUCAAGUAUGACAUCUGUAACCCUUCAUCUAAUAAACAUCUUUCACAGGAACCUUGCAUGUCUAUCACCUCAGGGAAGUUGGAGUUUCUGAACCAGGUCCUGGGGCUUGGCUUGAGGUGGUGUUUGGCUAUUCUUUUGUAUUUAGGUUUGUGGAUAGGACAGUGAUCUACCUCAUAGUCAGCCUUCUGAAUUCUCCAAUUUGUUUUUUUCCCAUGUGUUUUUCAAUCAUUGAAUCAUCUGGUACUUUUUUUCAGAACAUUUAAUGUCAUACAAGAAUUUGGAUUUAUUCACUUGGUUAGAGUGGUUGCUUUAUUUUGGAAGGCAUUUGAUGUAACUUGGCUUGUCUGAUUUGGGUGAUCGAGAUGUCUUUCAAAUUUACAUAAGUUCUGUACUGGUCUUAGAACACUUAUUUCAUAAAAACUCACACUGUUUCAUGAACAAACCUAAACAAAUUGAUUCUAGUUAGGGAUUCACUCACUGUGAAUAAAGGAUGGUGACAUUUCCUAUGAGAAGGAGCCAGAGUUGGAGGUUUCUCUGAGUGUCAACAGUAUCCUCACUUAGAUUGAAAGUGUGGCACGGAUAUUCUAGCCUAUUGUUAACCCAGUUUUUAAAGUUUCUUUUUGUAGGUAAGGAGUGUGGUUGGAUGAUCUUUCCUGGCAGAUUGUUCCAACUGUCAUUGUCCCUUUUGCAGAAGAAAUUGUUCCCUUACACCCUUUCAGAACAAGUCUGCAAAAUUUCAUAGGGCGCUGUCUCUGAAAAUUGAUAUUGCUUCUCAAUGACCUUUUUGCCAAAGAAGUGGCUUCCCUCAUCCCAGUGUGAAAGGGAUUUCAGACUUUUAUUGUCAUUUCUGAAAUGUGACAUUGCUUGUUAUUGACCCUUUGGCUGAAGGAAUGAUUUCCUACAUUUUAUUUGGUGGCGUCUCUGAAAUUUGACAUUGUGCUUCACAACUAGAAUACAUGCAUUGUGCUGUUAUGAUUGAUAGACCAUUAUUAAACCAUUGUGGGAUUAUAAAGUGCACUUCCUCUGGAUGAGCCUAUGUUGAGGAUUUAACCCAUUAGGUCUAGAUUCACAAGCCAUGUCUUUCCAACUGCCCCUUGCCUUAUCUCUCAGGGUUGUGUGAAAGGCGUGAUGAAUACUGUAAGUACAAACAUUAGGUGUCCUCUUGACGGAAAAAAAGAGAACAAAAAAAAAACACAUCAAAUUGUUCUUCUUUUCGGUUUCUUUCUUUUCACCAAAAUGCAGUGUUCAUUGAAGUUCAUAGGAACAUAAUUGCAUCAUGUACAGAAAAGUGUGUAUUUAUUUGUACAAUUAUGAAUCUUUAAUUUGCUUAAUUGAAAAGAACCCCUCCCCCAAAAAUAGAUAAAUAUAUUUUUAAAGAAUGAAUAAACAGAUUAAUAAAACUGAGAUAAAAUAAAGAAAUAAAAACAAAAGAAAAUAAAUAUAUUUAAAUUAAAAACAAAAAGGAUUGCGACAAUGAUUAAUCAUAAUACUCGAAUACUAAUUUUUUAAAAAUAAAUAUAAUACAAUUAUAAUAAAUUUAAAACAUUUCAGUCAUGGAGAAUAAAUGUUGAAAGGAUGUGAAAUAAAGAAAGAUUGACAGGAUAUGGAGAGCAUUUCAUGAAGAGUUUUAUCAGUGAUUAUCACUAAUUUGCUCUCGGCCAAUCAGAUGCAUUGAUUUACAGUAGCUUAUAACAUCUGACUGUGAAAUUCACUGAUAUGAAUAUUCAUGAAAUGCUCCCUUGGACGGAUAGUCCAUGGAGAUAUGGAGAGAGAUUGCAAUUAACUGGAUUCACAGGUAAACUUGUAAAAAGAGGGGGAGGGGGAAUAGAGGGGAGGAGGGGGUAAUGAGAUAGGGAGCAGAUUAAAGGCAAUUAGGUGGUAGUAUUGUCCAAGGGUAAAUAGAGAGACUACAAAGGAGAUUAACACAUUGAUUCAUUUGGUAGGGAAGAGAAAAGAUGGGUGGUGGGGGGGGGGGGGAAUGUAGAUUAUGUAGGUGAAGUUCCCCCCCCCAAAAAAAAAAAAAACACACAAAAUUGCUUGGAAAAUCAAUGCAUUGUCUUCCAUACCCUUAGCUAUGCAGGGUAUCAUUGAACUUGAAAAUAAAGCACCUACAUCAAGGAUGGGGUAUAUCAUGCACAACAGUGUCCAGUGCCCCGCCCUGCACACUUAAAAAUUAGACUCCGGGUAGUGGCAUCAUGUAUUGUGUGAUUCUGUCAAGAAGGCCACCCGCUCAGAUCAGGCUGCUGGCCAUUUUGUGAGGUUUGAGGUUUGCUCCAUUGAAUUGAGAGGUCAGCUGCUAUGGCAACCACCUUACUUGAAUGAAUCUUCUUGGCUGCUGGUCAUUUUUUUUUGUACAUUUUCUUUUGUUUGAGAAAUAAAUCCCUUGGAAAAUGAUAAAUUUU